rnacentral:rRNA from 1 species
CAGCCGCCGCGGGAAUACGGAGGGAGCUAGCGUUAUUCGGAAUUACUGGGCGUAAAGCGCACGUAGGCGGCUUUGUAAGUUAGAGGUGAAAGCCUGGAGCUCAACUCCAGAAUUGCCUUUAAGACUGCAUCGCUUGAAUCCAGGAGAGGUGAGUGGAAUUCCGAGUGUAGAGGUGAAAUUCGUAGAUAUUCGGAAGAACACCAGUGGCGAAGGCGGCUCACUGGACUGGUAUUGACGCUGAGGUGCGAAAGCGUGGGGAGCAGACAGGAUUAGAUACCCCGGUAGUCCCUGUCUCUUAUAC